rnacentral:tRNA from 1 species
UCCUCGGUAGUAUAGUGGUGAGUAUCCCCGCCUGUCACGCGGGAAACCGGGGUUCGAUUCCCCCGCCGGGGAG